rnacentral:rRNA from 1 species
GUGCCAGCAGCCGCGGUAAUACAGAGGGUGCGAGCGUUGUCCGGAAUCACUGGGCGUAAAGGGCGCGUAGGCGGUCUUGUAAGUCCUGUGUGAAAUCCCUCGGCUCAACCGAGGAACUGCACAGGAAACUGUGAGACUUGAGUUCGGGAGAGGGAAGCGGAAUUCCGGGUGUAGCGGUGAAAUGCGUAGAUAUCCGGAGGAACACCGGUGGCGAAGGCGGCUUCCUGGACCGACACUGACGCUGAGGCGCGAAAGCCAGGGGAGCAAACGGGAUUAGAUACCCCAGUAGUCC